CAGUUGGGGUCCAAUCAGGAGACCGAAACCACACAGGAAUGGAAAUAGGACAAGUUCAACAUACAGGAUGAUUAACUAACCUGGGAUUGACCGGUGCUGUGAUGCCACUGCAUGCUGGGGGCCUCUGGCAUCCUGUUUCACAUCAGCAAAAGCUCAGCACUGUGACCAAACCCAAAGGCACAACCAAACCAAUCCUGGAAUCCUAUCUUAAGAGUGCCGCGAGAAUCUUCCUCCAAGAUGGCUGAUUUAGGAGCAGCUCCCAGCGAAAGCACGGAGGGUGAGUGGAUGCGGCAUUUCCAGACGGAUUUUUAUUGCCCACAGACCGGGGACUCCAGGCGGAGGAGCCGCAUGGUUCGCCAGUGUGGCUGUUUUGGCCAGCAUGGCGGGUCUCUGGACAAAAUACAGGGGACCAGGCGCUGUUUUAGCUGGCGAUUAGAGCGCCUGGAAGACAGAGUCACCUGUUCAACUGAUAAAAAGGGGACUGAAACAGGGAGCCAGGCCAGGAGAUUCCCAGCCAAAAAAGUGCCACGAAUCUCCUGUGCGGCUUUUUCAGCCAGUACAAUGGGUCGCCACUCAGGAAAUAACACAGAUCUGGGUGCCUUUUCAACAGGCGAGUGGAAUGCCUGGGAGACAGUCGCCCGUUCAACUGAAAGAAAAGGGUCUGAGGCAGGGAGCCAGGUGAUCAGGCUCAGACGGUCCCACCCCCACAAAAAACAGCAAUCUGAAAUGCUCUGGACUGAGUUUUACAGCAAGCAUAGCUGAACCUGGGAUGGUCCAGCUCUGUAGGGGAGGGGCACUCACUAUUACCAAGGUAGUCCACCACUACAGAGGUAGUCCGCCAUUGCCAAGGCAGUUCUAACUAUACCCCUAUAAACAGGACUGCAGGGAAGUUCACACGGCAGCUGAGGGGAGCCCACAGCAGCUCAGCAAAGCCUCUGUUAGGUAGACUGUGACCAGGCUGCCCUCUCGCUAGGCAGGGCAGCCCUGAAAAAAAGCAGCAGCACAACAGAAGCUUAUAAAUAAAGCCCUACCUUCCCGGGACAGAGCACCUGGGGAAGAAAAAAAGGCAUUUAUGAGUUCUGCUGCAGCAGACUAAAACAUAGAAAGGAACAACCAGUACCAACCACUCCAAAAACAUACCAGAUCGUAAAAAGCACCAACACAACGUAGAAACUGCAUCAACUAACGGGCAAAACAGCCACCUAGUAUCAAAACGGCAGGAUCAAAUUCACACAUAACAAUAUUAACCCUAAAUGUAAAUGGGCUAAAUGCCCUAAUCAAAAGUCACAGCCUGACAAAUUGGGUAAAAAGCCAAAACCCAUCUCACAUGUAAGGAUACACAAAGGCUCAAAAUAAAAGGAUGGAGGAAGAUUUACCAAGCAAAUGGGGAGCAAAAAAUGCAGGAGUUGGAAUUCUCAUCUGAGAAAAUAGACUUUGAACCAACAAAGAUCAAAAGAGACAAAGAAGGACAUUACAUAAUGGUAAAAGGAUCAAUGCAACAAGAAGAGCUAAUGAUCCUAAAUAUA